AUUGAACGCUGGCGGCAUGCCUUACACAUGCAAGUCGAACGGCAGCACGGGAGCAAUCCUGGUGGCGAGUGGCGAACGGGUGAGUAAUAUAUCGGAACGUGCCCAGUCGUGGGGAUAACGUAGCGAAAGCUACGUUAAUACCGCAUACGAUCUAUGGAUGAAAGCGGGGGAUCGCAAGACCUCGCGCGAUUGGAGCGGCCGAUAUCAGAUUAGGUAGUUGGUGAGGUAAAGGGCUCACCAAGCCGACGAUCUGUAGCUGGUCUGAGAGGACGACCAGCCACACUGGGACUGAGACACGGCCCAGACUCCUACGGGAGGCAGCAGUGGGGAAUUUUGGACAAUGGGCGCAAGCCUGAUCCAGCAAUGCCGCGUGCAGGAUGAAGGCCUUCGGUU
rnacentral:rRNA from 1 species